GUGGGGAAUAUUGGACAAUGGGCGCAAGCCUGAUCCAGCCAUGCCGCGUGAGUGAUGAAGGCCUUAGGGUUGUAAAGCUCUUUUGCCGGGGACGAUAAUGACGGUACCCGGAGAAUAAGUCCCGGCUAACUUCGUGCCAGCAGCCGCGGUAAUACGAAGGGGACUAGCGUUGUUCGGAAUCACUGGGCGUAAAGCGCACGUAGGCGGAUCAUUUAGUCAGAGGUGAAAUCCCGGGGCUCAACCUCGGAACUGCCUUUGAUACUGAUGGUCUCGAGUCCGAUAGAGGUGGGUAGAAUUCCUAGUGUAGAGGUGAAAUUCGUAGAUAUUAGGAAGAAUACCGGUGGCGAAGGCGGCCCACUGGAUCGGUACUGACGCUGAGGUGCGAAAGCGUGGGGAGCAAACAGGAUUAGAAACCCGGGUAGUCC
rnacentral:rRNA from 1 species